UCGCAGAGGAAACGUCACCAUCUUGAGCGUGGCGGUUGAGGAGCGGCUUUGUCAAGGUGCCAUCUUGAACGCUGCGGCAGUCAAGCGAAGGCUUGAAGUGCACAGAUGGGAUCAAUCUCUGUGAUAUGAACAAUUGCUCCCAGAGCCUUCAGAGCUGCACAGCAUCCCUUUCCAACCUGCGAUACCCAAAAAGAAACACAAAAUCAGAAGCUGGAAAACAAUGUCUUGUCUACCUCAAAAGCAACGAUUACAAGGAAGAAGUUGAUAGGCCAAAUAUGCUUCUUGAGCUAAUACUUCUGGAUCAGCAGAAGAUAAAUCAAAGGAAAAUAAAUAUUAUUAAAAGGGAGACACUUACCAGAACUGUAGCUGUCUGUGGAAGACUGUGAAAUGGAACGAGACAGGGAUCUGCGACCAGUCUUUGUGGGAAAUUUACUGAACUCCUGCAUAUCAUCUGCAAACUGGAUUUGCUAUACACAAAAAUUAAGAAGUUACUAUUGUUUUUUUAAAGGUCAACAAGCUUAAUUCUGCAACUAUUAAAACAUAAGCAACGUAAGAUCCCAUAA